UAAGCAUAUCAAUAAGCGGAGGAAAAGAAACUAACAAGGAUUCCCCUAGUAACUGCGAGUGAAGCGGGAAAAGCUCAAAUUUAAAAUCUGGCGGUCUUUGGCCGUCCGAGUUGUAGUCUGGAGAAGUGUUUUCCGUGCUGGACCGUGUACAAGUCUCUUGGAACAGAGCGUCAUAGAGGGUGAGAAUCCCGUCUUUGACACGGACUACCAGUGCUUUGUGAUGCGCUCUCAAAGAGUCGAGUUGUUUGGGAAUGCAGCUCAAAAUGGGUGGUAAAUUCCAUCUAAAGCUAAAUAUUGGCGAGAGACCGAUAGCGAACAAGUACCGUGAGGGAAAGAUGAAAAGCACUUUGGAAAGAGAGUUAAACAGUACGUGAAAUUGCUGAAAGGGAAACGCUUGAAGUCAGUCGCGUUGAUCAGAACUCAGCCUUGCUUUUGCUUGGUGCAUUUUCUGGUUGACGGGCCAGCAUCGAUUUUGACCAUCGGAAAAAGGCCAGGGGAAUGUGGCACCUUCGGGUGUGUUAUAGCCCUUGGUCACAUACGGUGGUUGGGAUCGAGGACCGCAGCACGCCUUUAUGGCCGGGGUUCGCCCACGUUCGUGCUUAGGAUGCUGGCGUAAUGGCUUUAAACGACCCGUCUUGAAACACGGACCAAGGAGUCUAACAUGCCUGCGAGUGUUUGGGUGGAAAACCCGAGCGCGUAAUGAAAGUGAAAGUUGAGAUCCCUGUCGUGGGGAGCAUCGACGCCCGGACCUGAACUUCGGUGAUGGCUCUGCGGUAGAGCAUGUAUGUUGGGACCCGAAAGAUGGUGAACUAUGCCUGAAUAGGGUGAAGCCAGAGGAAACUCUGGUGGAGGCUCGUAGCGAUUCUGACGUGCAAAUCGAUCGUCAAAUUUGGGUAUAGGGGCGAAAGACUAAUCGAACCAUCUAGUAGCUGGUUCCUGC
rnacentral:rRNA from 1 species